rnacentral:misc_RNA from 1 species
GAACGCACCUUGCGCUCCUUGGUAUUCCGAGGAGCAUGCCUGUUUGAGUGUCAUUAAAUUCUCAACCUCACCAAUUUUGUUAUGAAAUUGUGUGUAGGCUUGGAUGUGGGGGUUGCAGGUCCACUUUGUGGUCUGCUCCUCUGAAAUGUAUUAGUGGGUUUGGCCCCUAAUCUAUUGGUGUGAUAAUUAUCUACGCCGUGGAUUGGAUGGCUAUCUUAGACCUGCUCCUAACCGUCCUUCACAGGACAACUCUUGACAUUUUUGACCUCAAAUCAGGUAAGACUACCCGCUGAACUUAAG